rnacentral:tRNA from 1 species
AAGACUCUAGUAAAAUAAUUACAUUACCUUGUCAAGGUAAAAUUGUGGGUUAAACUCCCACGAAUCUUA